AUCGCAUGGCAGGAUGCUGUAAACGGACCAAACUUCAGUCAAGAGAACAACUGAGAUAAUCCAUCCACAAUACGAGGUUAGUCACUAAUAUACUGCUGCAUGGGCUGGGCUGUAGUUGUCACGGUCCCCGUGCCUCACCGGCUGAUUCCGCGUUAGGCAAUAUGUCUUUGUUUUUGUUCUCUCUCUCUCUCUCUCCCUCUCCCUCUUUCCCCUGCCGCGGCGGUGCUCACUGCGGGCUCCGCCCCUGGCCCACGCACCUGUGCUCUUCAUCACACCUGUCGCUGUUUACUGCAAUCAGAAGGGCCUUUUAAGAUGGCAGACCUACACUACUCGUCGCUGGAACGUUGAGCCACCCGUAUUCCCCCCGGACCCGUCCCUGUACCCCCGAGUGAGCGAGAGGAGCGACUGGAGGAAAAGGAGUGGGAUUGUUGGCUGAGAGAGCGGAGUGUGGUUUUGGACCCUUUCCCUUCCCCUCGCACCCUGGAGCCCCGGACCCCUUUCCCAAGCACCUUGUAUAUAUAUUCACCCGGUGACGCCACUGUAAAUAAACGCACUAUCAGUUUCUGCAAGAGUCUCCUGGUCUGCGCCUGAGUCCGUUUACGAAACCUUGUCAGUAGUUACAUCGGAAGGGUUUAAACACUGAACUUUAAAAUGAACAGCGGCAAUAAAAACUGAGAGAGGUCGAUAGUGAUCACUGACUGUUUUAGGGGCUUGUUCAGAUUAAAUAGAACAAGAUACAAAGCAUUCAAACAUGUUAAAAACACAACAGCCUUAUUAAACGCAGAGUAAUUUGGACCCGGAAGCAGGAUUCAUCAGGUCAUCACCUAAAGACCGGAUAGGAUCUCCUUUAGGAAGCACUGAAGCAGGAGAGGGAACGAUUACGUCCCAUAAUUAAUAGUGGAAAACUUCUUUUGUUUUAUAAGCUUUCUGUUCUUUUUUUCUUGUGCUCAGAGUUCAGUCAUACUGUAAUAAUCCUGCUCAGAUUAUCAUAGAGUUUCUGGAUGAAUAAUCGGAGAGCUGAUAUUUUUGUGUUGUGUGUUUAAUAAGCUGCUCACAUACAGACGAGCACAGGUACACUUACAGGUACAAGCACAGGUAAACUUACAGGUAUGAGCAUCUGUGACAGAGAUAUAAACAGGACAACAGAAACUCAACUGAGAAACUGGAGCCAA